rnacentral:tRNA from 1 species
GGGCCCAUAUCUCAGUUGGUUAGAGAAGCUGACUCAUAAUCAGAAGGUCGUCAGUUCAAGCCUGGCUGGGCCCA